AGUGAACGCUGGCGGUAGGCCUAACACAUGCAAGUCGAACGGCAGCACAGCAAGAGCUUGCUCUUACGGGUGGCGAGUGGCGGACGGGUGAGGAAUACAUCGGAAUCUACUUUUUCGUGGGGGAUAACGUAGGGAAACCUACGCUAAUACCGCAUACGACCUACGGGUGAAAGCAGGGGAUCUUCGGACCUUGCGCGAUUGAAUGAGCCGAUGUCGGAUUAGCUAGUUGGCGGGGUAAAGGCCCACCAAGGCGACGAUCCGUAGCUGGUCUGAGAGGAUGAUCAGCCACACUGGAACUGAGACACGGUCCAGACUCCUACGGGAGGCAGCAGUGGGGAAUAUUGGACAAUGGGAGCAAGCCUGAUCCAGCCAUACCGCGUGGGUGAAGAAGGCCUUCGGGUUGUAAAGCCCUUUUGUUGGGAAAGAAAAGCAGCAGGUUAAUACCCCGCUGUUCUGACGGUACCCAAAGAAUAAGCACCGGCUAACUUCGUG
rnacentral:rRNA from 1 species